GACGAACGCUGGCGGCGUGCCUAAUACAUGCAAGUCGAGCGAGUCUGCCUUGAAGAUCGGAGUGCUUGCACUCUGUGAAACAAGAUACAGGCUAGCGGCGGACGGGUGAGUAACACGUGGGUAACCUGCCCAAGAGAUCGGGAUAACACCUGGAAACAGAUGCUAAUACCGGAUAACAACAGAUGAUGCCUAUCAACUGUUUAAAAGAUGGUUCUGCUAUCACUCUUGGAUGGACCUGCGGUGCAUUAGCUAGUUGGUAGGGUAACGGCCUACCAAGGCGAUGAUGCAUAGCCGAGUUGAGGGACUGAUCGGCCACAUUGGGACUGAGACACGGCCCAAACUCCUACGGGAGGCAGCAGUAGGGAAUCUUCCACAAUGGACGCAAGUCUGAUGGAGCAACGCCGCGUGAGUGAAGAAGGGUUUCGGCUCGUAAAGCUCUGUUGUUGGUGAAGAAGGACAGGGGUAGUAACUGACCUUUGUUUGACGGUAAUCAAUUAGAAAGUCACGGCUAACUAAGUG
rnacentral:rRNA from 1 species